GAAGAUGGUAUGGUAUCUGCUAGCUUCUCCACUGUAAAGUCACACUUUUUCCCUUGGCAAGAUGCUUUGAAACUAAGUAAAAUUACUCAUAAAAUUUUGAAUUAUUUAUUUUUAUCAAAUGGAUUCGUGGAUUCCCAUUUUAUUUAAUGUGUUAUAAUCUGUUACUAUCCUUAUUUCAAUGCUCAAAUUGUCCCAGAUUUGGCCAAUGGGAGCUCCUUCAAGCUAG
rnacentral:lncRNA from 10 species